CUCGCUCUCGCUCUGUUCUUGGUCGCCGCACCCGUCGCCGCCGCGCCGCAGCGCCAUGGUGUCGUGGAGUGAUGGGUCGGAUAGCAGCGAGCACACCAGGCAGUACAUGAGCUCAGAUUCCGACGACGGCACCAUUAAGGUUCCUGCUAGCACCGAAGACUCAGAUUUCGAGGGCCCUGAGACAGAUAUGUAUGUUUUGUGCCAUGGACACGGGAAGGCAGCAGAAAGGCGCGUUGCUUUCGAAGGGAUUCACACUGGCAGGAGGUUUCUUUGUUGUGCAGAGAAGGUAUGGUUCCAACUUAACUAAUUGGAAGUUGUUGAUUAACUUAACAGAUCUGUCAUUUGUUUGCCAUGGACAUGUAAUGUGGCACUCCAGCAGGCAUUGUAUUAUAAUGUGAAGUU